AAACUGGUCACCGAAGCUGCGGCUGCAUACGUUGUAUGCGGGGUAGGGGAGCGUUCUGUAAGCCUGCGAAGGUGUGUCGAGAGGCAUGCUGGAGGUAUCAGAAGUGCGAAUGCUGACAUGAGUAACGACAAUGCGGGUGAAAAACCCGCACGCCGGAAGACCAAGGGUUCCUGCGCAACGCUAAUCGGCGCAGGGUGAGUCGGCCCCUAAGGCGAGACCGAAAGGUGUAGUCGAUGGGAAACGGGUUAAUAUUCCCGUACCUUGGAUAGCUGCGAUGGAGAGACGGAGAAGGCUAGGUGAGCCGGGCGACGGUUGCCCCGGUUUAAGCAUGUAGGGAGUGGACUUAGGCAAAUCCGGGUCCACAAUCCCGAGACGCGACGACGAGUGCCCAAGGGCGCGAAGUCAUUGAUGCCCUGCUUCCAGGAAAAUCUUCUAAGCUUCAGGCUAUUCGAGACCGUACCCCAAACCGACACAGGUGGUCAGGUAGAGAAUACCAAGGCGCUUGAGAGAACUCGGGUGAAGGAACUAGGCAAAAUGGUGCCGUAACUUCGGGAGAAGGCACGCCGGUGCGUACGUGAAGCCCCCGCGGGUGGAGCGGAAGCCGGUCGAAGAUACCAGGCCCCUGCGACUGUUUAUUAAAAACACAGCACUCUGCAAACACGAAAGUGGACGUAUAGGGUGUGACGCCUGCCCGGUGCCGGAAGGUUAAUUGAUGGGGUUAGCCCUCGGGCGAAGCUCUUGAUCGAAGCCCCGGUAAACGGCGGCCGUAACUAUAACGGUCCUAAGGUAGCGAAAUUCCUUGUCGGGUAAGUUCCGACCUGCACGAAUGGCGUAACGAUGGGGGCGCUGUCUCCACCCGAGACUCAGUGAAAUUGAAAUCGCUGUGAAGAUGCAGUGUAUCCGCGGCUAGACGGAAAGACCCCGUGAACCUUUACUAUAGCUUCACAGUGAACUUUGAGCAUGCUUGUGUAGGAUAGCUGGGAGGCUUUGAAACCGGGACGCCAGUUCCGGUGGAGCCAACCUUGAAAUACCAGCCUGGCAUGUUUGAGGUUCUAACUCUGGCCCCUUAUCGGGGUUGAGGACACUGUGUGGUGGGUAGUUUGACUGGGGCGGUCUCCUCCCAAAGCGUAACGGAGGAGCACAAAGGUGGGCUAAGCACGGUCGGACAUCGUGCGGUUAGUGUAAUGGCACAAGCCCGCUUGACUGCGAGACAGACACGUCGAGCAGGUGCGAAAGCAGGUCAUAGUGAUCCGGUGGUUCUGUAUGGAAGGGCCAUCGCUCAACGGAUAAAAGGUACUCCGGGGAUAACAGGCU
rnacentral:rRNA from 1 species